CCCGCUGCGCUGAGGGGACCUGGGAUUGGGCUGAGGUCGGGAAGGCGGAGCUGCCAUGGAGCCUGUGUGGGCCUCGGCCGCUGUGCCGCGCCGGACACCCCCGGCCCGGCUGCCCCGUCCUCACGGGGGGAAGCGCCGGGCGGCCUCGGAGAGCUGUGCACAAAGGGUCACCCACACACGGAGCCGCCCCUCUCUGUCUCCCUCCCUAACCCCCUCCUUGGAGGCCCGGAGCUUGGCUACGGCGAUUCUGGGGUGUCUGUCCUCCUUUGCUCCCUCCCAGAUCUUCUCACGAUGAAAACUUGAGUCUCAGAGAAAAGAAGUCAUCUGUUGAGAGAAGCCCCAUUUUCUUACUGUGUGAAACUCCAAGUGUAAGAGACUGACAGUGUAAUGUGUUGUUUCUUGUUUUCUGUGUCAUAUAAAAGGUUGUAUAGUCA